AUACGUAGGUGACGAGCGUUAUCCGGAUUUACUGGGCGUAAAGGGCGUGUAGGCGGUCUUGCAAGUCAGAAGUGAAAUUCCUGAGCUCAACUCGGGCGCUGCUUCUGAAACUGCAGGACUUGAGUGCUGGAGGGGAUAGCGGAAUUCCUAGUGGAGCGGUAAAAUGCGCAGAUAUUAGGAAGAACACCGGUGGCGAAGGCGGCUAUCUGGACAGUAACUGACGCUGAGGCGCGAAAGCGUGGGGAGCAAACAGGAUUAGAUACCCUGGUAGUCCACGCUGUAAACGAUGAAUACUAGGUGUAGGGGGUAUCGACUCCCUCUGUGCCGCAGUUAACACAAUAAGUAUUCCGCCUGGGGAGUACGGCCGCAAGGUUGAAACUCAAAUGAAUUGACGGGG
rnacentral:rRNA from 1 species